AAACAUGUCUUUUUGAAAAUAAUUUAAAGUUUAAUCUGCCCACUGAUNAAAUUAUUAAAGGGCUGCAGUAUUUUGACUGUACAAAGGUAGCAUAAUCAUUAGUCUCUUAAUUGGUGACUUGUAUGAAAGAUUGGAUGAAAUAUAUACUGUCUCUAUUUAAUUUAUAAAAUUUAAUUUUUUAGUAAAAAAGCUAAAAUGAAUUUAAAAGACGAGAAGACCCUAUAGAGUUUAAUAAUUUAUUUAAUUAUUAUUAAUAUAUAAAUUUUAAAAUUAAAAUUAAAUAAAUUAUUUUGUUGGGGUGAUAGAAAAAUUAAAUUAACUUUUUUUUUAUUUUAUACAUUAAUUUAUGAAUAAAUGAUCCAUUAAUAAUGAUUAAAAGAAAAAAUUACCUUAGGGAUAACAGCGUAAUUUUUUUUUUUAGUUCAAAUAGGAAAAAAAGUUUGCGACCUCGAUGUUGGAUUAAGAUAAAAUUUAAAUGCAAAAGUUUAAAAUUUUAAUCUGUUCGAUCAUUAAAAUCUUA
rnacentral:rRNA from 1 species